AGAGCGUAUGGCGGAUGCCUAGGCUUUCAGAGGCGAUGAAGGACGUGAUAAGCUGCGAUAAGCUUCGGGGAAUGGCACAUACAUUUUGAUCCGAAGAUUUCCGAAUGGGACAACCCACUAUGUUGAAGGCAUAGUAUCUCGUCUUCGGACGAGAGGCAAACCCGGGGAACUGAAACAUCUAAGUACCCGGAGGAAAAGAAAUCAAUUGAGAUUCCGUAAGUAGUGGCGAGCGAACGCGGAUUAGCCCUAAAGCAUAUAUAAGUUUAGUAGAAUAACCUGGAAAGGUUAACCGUAGAGGGUGAUAGUCCUGUAAACGAAAGGCUUAUAUAUGUUAUAACGAGUAAGGCGGGACACGUGAAAUCCUGUUUGAAUAUGGGGGGACCAUCCUCCAAGGCUAAAUACUCCUGAAAGACCGAUAGUGAACUAGUACUGUGAAGGAAAGGUGAAAAGCACUUCGAAUAGAAGGGUGAAAGAGAACCUGAAACCAUACGCUUACAAGCGGUCGGAGCCCUUAUGGGUGACGGCGUGCCUUUUGCAUAAUGAGCCUACGAGUUAAUGUCACUGGCAAGGUUAAGUACUUCAGGUACGGAGCCGAAGCGAAAGCGAGUCUGAAUAGGGCGCAGAGUCAGUGGUAUUAGACGCGAAACCUUGUGAUCUACCCAUGGUCAGGUUGAAGCUUUGGUAACACAAAGUGGAGGACCGAACCCGUUGACGUUGAAAAGUCUUGGGAUGAACUGUGGGUAGGGGUGAAAGGCUAAUCAAACUGGGAAAUAGCUCGUACUCCCCGAAAUGCAUUUAGGUGCAGCGUAGAAUAAAAGUAUCUUAGAGGUAGAGCUACUGAUUGGAUGCGGGGGCUUCACCGCCUACCAAUUCCUGACAAACUCCGAAUGCUAAGAUAUGUUUUUCUGCAGUGAGGGCAUGGGUGCUAAGGUCCAUGUCCGAGAGGGAAAGAACCCAGAUCAUCAGCUAAGGCCCCCAAAUGUAUACUAAGUUGACCAAACGCGGUCGGAUUGCACAGACAGCUAGGAUGUUAGCUUGGAAGCAGCUAUUCAUUUAACGAGUGCGUAACAGCUCACUAGUCGAGCGAUCCGGCAUGGAUAAUAAUCGGGCAUAAGUAUACUGCCGAAGCUAUGAACUCUAGCAAUAGAGUGGUAGGGGAGCAUUCUAUCGGCGCAGAAGCGUUUCCGGCGAGGAGGCGUGGAGCUUAUAGAAAAGAAAAUGUAGGCAUGAGUAACGAUAAUGCGGAUGAGAAAUCCGCACGCCGCAAGACCAAGGUUUCCUCAGCUAUGCUAAUCAGCUGAGGGUUAGUCGGGUCCUAACAUAUACCCGAAAGGGGAAGUGGAUGGCAAACGGGUUAAUAUUCCCGUACCUGCUCACACCAAAAGUGACGGUGAGAAGUAACCGGUGCGUACUGACGGAAUAGUACGUUGAACCUAAGUAAAUUAGGGAUAGUACACAAAGCCUUCGGGUGGCGUGAUAAUCCGGUGAAGUCUCAUCCAAGAAACAGCGAGUGAAGCAGCCCGUACCCUAAACCGACACAGGUGGUCGAGGAGAGUAUCCUCAGGCGCUCGAGUGAAUCGUGGUUAAGGAACUAGGCAAAAUAGACCUGUAACUUCGGGAGAAAGGUCGCUGACAGCAAUGUCAGCCGCAGUGAAAAGGCCCAGGCGACUGUUUAUCAAAAACACAGGACUCUGCUAAAUCGAAAGAUGAUGUAUAGGGUCUGACACCUGCCCGGUGCCGGAAGGUUAAGGAAGGGGGUUAGCUUUUAGCGAAGCUCUUGACUGAAGCCCCGGUAAACGGCGGCCGUAACUAUAACGGUCCUAAGGUAGCGAAAUUCCUUGUCGGGUAAGUUCCGACCUGCACGAAUGGUGUAACGAUCUGGGCACUGUCUCAACCACGAGCUCGGUGAAAUUGU
rnacentral:rRNA from 1 species